rnacentral:rRNA from 1 species
AAUGAACGCUGGCGGUGUGCCUAAUACAUGCAAGUCGAACGACCACACAGUAAGCUUUCUCUUCUACCGGUGGCGACUGGCGGAUGGGUAACGAGUACAUCGCCUUCCUCUUUUACUUGGAUGACUUCGUGGGAACACUGCUGCUAACACCUCACAUGAUCAACCGCUUAAAUCAACGGUUCAUGACACUCUUGCUGUCUCUUAUAGCCGAUUUCGGAUUAGCUAGUUUGCUGGGUAAGGGCCCACCAAGGCGACGAUGCGUAGCUGGUCUGAGAGGAUGAUCAGCCACACUGGAACUGAGACACGGUCCAGACUCCUACGGGAGGCAGCAGUGGGGAAUAUUGGACAAUGGGCGAAAGCCUGAUGGAGCAAUGCCGCGUGGGUGAAGAAGGCCUUCGGGUUGUAAAACCCUGUUGUUAGGAAAGAAAAGAAGCAGAAGAAAACACGGCUGUCUUGACGGUACCUAAAGAGAAAGCAACGGCUAACUACGUG